rnacentral:rRNA from 1 species
CCACAUUGGGACUGAGACACGGCCCAGACUCCUACGGGAGGCAGCAGUGGGGAAUAUUGCACAAUGGGGGAAACCCUGAUGCAGCGACGCCGCGUGGAGGAAGAAGGUCUUCGGAUUGUAAACUCCUGUUGUUGGGGAAGAUAAUGACGGUACCCAACAAGGAAGUGACGGCUAACUACGUGCCAGCAGCCGCGGUAAAACGUAGGUCACAAGCGUUGUCCGGAAUUACUGGGUGUAAAGGGAGCGCAGGCGGGAAGACAAGUUGGAAGUGAAAUCUAUGGGCUCAACCCAUAAACUGCUUUCAAAACUGUUUUUCUUGAGUAGUGCAGAGGUAGGCGGAAUUCCCGGUGUAGCGGUGGAAUGCGUAGAUAUCGGGAGGAACACCAGUGGCGAAGGCGGCCUACUGGGCACCAACUGACGCUGAGGCUCGAAAGUGUGGGUAGCAAACAGGAUUAGAUACCCUGGUAGUCCACACUGUAAACGAUGAUUACUAGGUGUUGGGGGAUUGACCCCCUCAGUGCCGCAGUUAACACAAUAAGUAAUCCACCUGGGGAGUACGACCGCAAGGUUGAAACUCAAAGGAAUUGACGGGGGCCCGCACAAGCAGUGGAGUAUGUGGUUUAAUUCGACGCAACGCGAAGAACCUUACCAAGUCUUGACAUCCUGCGACGGUGCUAGAAAUAGUACUUUCCUUCGGGACGCAGAGACAGGUGGUGCAUGGUUGUCGUCAGCUCGUGUCGUGAGAUGUUGGGUUAAGU